rnacentral:misc_RNA from 1 species
CCGAGUGAGGGCCCUCUGGGUCCAACCUCCCACCCGUGUUUAUUUACCUCGUUGCUUCGGCGGGCCCGCCUUAACUGGCCGCCGGGGGGCUCACGCCCCCGGGCCCGCGCCCGCCGAAGACACCCCCGAACUCUGCCUGAAGAUUGUCGUCUGAGUGAAAAUAUAAAUUAUUUA